AUGGUUUUGGAGGACGAAAGCAGUGACGACCAGUCUAGCCUCCCGUACAUGCAGUCUUCCUCCUCCACCGACGGGCUCAACCAGGUCCCUUUCAGCCUUGAAGAUCCAGAUUACAAGGGGCUUGAGCUGGAUGUCAUGUCCCCAUGUGAGAAGCACGGCAUGGCAUCUGAGAGGCUUGUUGCCUUUGAAGGAACAGGCACUGGCAGGAGGUUUUUAGCAUGUGUACAACCGGAAGGUAGCAAUUGUGGCUUUGUUGAAUGGGUUGAUCACCAGUGGCCCCCAACAAUGCAGAAUGCAUUGUUGAAGCUAUGGGCAAUGGUUGAAGAUGCCAAAAGUGCUAGGGUGAAUGACAAUCUUGAAAGUUCUUUCACUAUCCACCAUCUGACAGAAAAGAAGAACAAGCUGGAGGCCAACUAUGACAAGCUAUCUGCCAUUACAUAUCAGCAGGAGGUAAGAAAAGAACUGAUUGAUGAUAUGAAGGCACAGAUGGCAACUGAGAUGGCAAAGAAAGAUGCAAAGACCCAGAAACUUACUCAGAAGUAUGAGCUGCUGGUCAACCUGACAAGAGCUCAAGCAACAGUCAUUCAGAACUUGAAGUUGAACAAAAUGAAAAAGAAGCGAGUGCUUACUGAAGCUAGGAUGAAUUUGGAGCUGAAGAAUGCAGAGCUAACAAAGUGUCAGGAUAAGCUCACCCAAGAGAAGCUAGAGUUGAAGCUUCAGGUUGCUGAUCUGCUUAAGGGAAAUGAAAAGCAUAUUCAAGAGAAGUGGCAGUUAGAGUUUCAGAAUGAAAAUUUGAAGGAGAAGUUCAGGGGGAUUUAG
rnacentral:rRNA from 1 species